rnacentral:lncRNA from 1 species
UUUAUACAUACACAAAAGAGGAGCAAGCUAGAAGAUUCUCCUCUUUGGCUAAAAAGAGACUGCUAGCUUUCAAGAUGCCUGUUUUCAAACUUGCCUAAGCUCUCCAUAGCUUUAUUUUCUUCUUUUUUUGCUAUAGAGCUAGAGCUCGCAGGUUUAAAAAGGAGAACUUCCUUCCCUAGGAAGAGCUUAGCAAGAGAGUAAAUAACUGCCUUUCACUUGAUCUCACUCCAGCAAUGGAAAGGGG